rnacentral:lncRNA from 1 species
AUUUCAUAUACUGUACUAAGUGCUUUACAUUCAUUUCCUCAUUUUAAUCCUCACAACAACCCUAUGAGGUAGGUAUUAUCACCAUUUACAAAUGAGAAACAGGCUCAGAAAAAUUAGGUCACUUGUCCAAGGUCACACAGCUAGUCAGUGGUGGAAGUGGGAUUUGUCUGCUGCUGAAAGCCCAUGUUCUUUUUAUUGUACCCAUCUAGGUGAGCCUUGAGCAAAAGGUAAUUUCACUGCCCAACUCUGCAAAGAGCACCAGGGAGUCGAGGUUGCCAGCCACACUCACCGCUGGUAGGGAUGCAUGGAAGCCGACUUGAUGUUGGUUUUUAUUCCACUUGGCAUUUUCCCUGAAAGGAACAUUAAAAAAGUCAUCUUAAGCAAGAUCUUCAUCUCGGUCUGGAGACAACACCAGAGGAAUGAUGACCUGGUUACGGAACAGCGGUGUUUUUUCAUGCUUCAAGACCUUGUUCAGAGUGUUCAGCUGUCCAGAAAGCAAGGCAAAGUUGUCCAGGACAGAUGGCCUGGUGGUGGUAACAAGGUACACCCUACACUCCCUCACUGAGACAUUUUCGACAGACCUAAUGCCGGGAGAUCAUUCUCUCAUGUGCACCUCUGUAGCACAUGCACUCCAGCUUCCUCCAUCGUAGCAUCUGUGAGCCUGGCUGUCUUGUCAGUCUCUGGGAAAUCUGCCUACUCAUGAAGACUUCUCUGAAUACCAGUCCUGCUCUCCCCUUUCCUUCCCCCCACCAACGACUCCAGCUUUCCAUCUGCUCUCAUCAUUUUGUUUCAACCUUCUCCUUGCUGAAUUAAUAUGCACUCAUCUAUCUCUGUGUCAAUAUUCCCGUGCCUCUUUCACAAGCUCAGUCAACCCAUUAACAUUUAUUGAGACUACCAGCUGCAAGAAACUAAGUGACAAAUGAAAAACAAAAACCACACAUGCUUCUAAGCACUGGACAAACAAAUUAAAAUGCUGGGGGUCUGCAAAGCAUUUCCUUCCCAUCGGUGGUCUCCUG